CAGUAGCCACGGUAAUACGAAGGGGGCUAGCGUUGUUCGGAUUUACUGGGCGUAAAGCGCACGUAGGCGGAUUGGUCAGUCAGAGGUGAAAGCCUGGAGCUCAACUCCAGAAUUGCCUUUAAGACUGCCGAGCUAGCAGGUGAGAGAGGUAAGUGGAAUUCCGAGUGUAGAGGUGAAAUUCGUAGAUAUUCUGAAGAACACCAGUGGCGAAGGCGGCUUACUGGCUCAUACUGGACGCUGAGGUGCGAAAGCGUGGGGAGCAAACAGGAUUAGAUACCCCCGUAGUCCCUGUCUCUUAUAC
rnacentral:rRNA from 1 species